ACAGUGGUGGUUCAGUGGUAGAAUUCUCACCUUCCAUGUGGGAGACCUGGGUUCAAUUCCUAGUCAGUGCA
rfam:Loxodonta africana unplaced genomic scaffold scaffold_54, whole genome shotgun sequence.